rnacentral:lncRNA from 1 species
GAGGGGGUGGCGUGUGAGUGCGUGGAGGGUAAAAGCCAGUCAGUCAGUGAGAAGCAAAGAUCAACCACCUCAGAAGAGCCAGAUUCCACUUCUGUGGCCAGGACUUUUACAUUAUGGCUGGUCCGAUUGUUUUACCCUGCGUUCUAUGCUACUAAACCUUGGAUCAUUCCUAAAGUACAAAUUCUGUUCUCGAACCACAAACAAGGCUAAAAGAUCGGAGGAAAUUCAGUGAAUAUACAGGAUUGGGGUGUCUGAUGAUUUGUGAGCCUCAAGUGACUACUCUGUGGAAUCAUCUGUCCUUGCCUUUGAAUUAGCUUUCCCUAGGCCAUGAGUCAACAUUAGUAGUUUAUACAUCCAAAUUGAUGACAAGAGCACCUCAAAGGCAGCAGCCUCAAGGAGCAGCCAUGGCCCCAGACUUGUCGCACGGAUGCAGAAAACUUAAUGGAGGAGGCUGAGCAAAACAGAGCGUGACACU